AAAAACAUAGCCCUAGGAAAUAAUCUAGGGUGAAACCUGCUCAAUGAAGUUUUUAAUAGCCGCGGUACCUUGACCGUGCUAAGGUAGCAUAAUCAGUUGACUUUUAAAUGAAGUCUGGAAUGAACGGAAUAACGGAAUUAAGCUGUCUCUAAUUUUUUAUUAUGAAUUUACUAAUCAGGUGAAAAGGCCUGAAAAAGAUAAAAGACGAGAAGACCCUUAGAGUUUUUUAAUUAUUUUGUUGGGGCGACAAAGAAUCAGGAAAACAUUCUUAAUUUUAAUGGGACGGUAUUUACAUGAAUAGAUAAACUACCUGAGGGAUAACAGCAUUAUCUUUUUAGGUUUGUGACCUCGAUGUUGGACUAGGAAGCCUAUAGGCUAGCCGCUUAUAAGGGAGGUUCUGUUCGAACUUUUACUCCUACGUGAUCUGAG
rnacentral:rRNA from 1 species